rnacentral:misc_RNA from 1 species
GUGUACAAAAUGAUUCUUGAGAGCUAGAAAAAAGAAUACUUUGGUUCUGUUGAGGAACCAAAAGGUGUAGAAUUUGGAGCAUAGGUUAUCGAAGUCUACAUACUGUGAUGGUUUCUUCCCUUGUGUUGGCUGAUAAUUAUCGGAGUGGGAAAAAUGAAUGAGUAAAUCUCUACUAUUGUCUUCGGUAACCUAGAAAUACCA